rnacentral:rRNA from 1 species
ACUCCUACGGGAGGCAGCAGUGGGGAAUAUUGCACAAUGGACGAAAGUCUGAUGCAGCAACGCCGCGUGGAGGAUGACACAUUUCGGUGCGUAAACUCCUUUUAUAUGAGAAGAUAAUGACGGUAGGAGCAGAAGAAGGACCGGCCAACUACGUGCCAGCAGCCGCGGUAAUG